GCUUACGGCCAUACCACUCUGAGCACGCCGAUCUCGUCCGAUCUCGGAAGCAAGCAGGUCGGGCCUGGUUAGUACUUGGACGCGGAAGCUGGGAAUACCGGUGCUGUAAGCU
rnacentral:rRNA from 1 species